UUGAUUGAGGAUUUGAUCCUGGUCCAGGAUGAACGCUGGCGGCGUGGAUAAGGCAUGCAAGUCGAACGAGACUAAUUUGCGAUUACAUCAAGAGCUAGUCUAGUGGCGAACGAGUUAGUAACACCUUGGAAUCUACCUCGAAGACGGGGAUAACUCCGCGAAAGCGGAGCUAAUACCCGAUAGUCCCGAAAGGGUAAAGACGCAAGUCACUUCAAGAGGAGCCUAGGUCCUAUCAGCUUGUUGGUGAGGUAAUGGCUCACCAAGGCUAUGACGGGUAGGGGACGUGAGAGCGUGACCCCCAACGACGACACUGAGAGACGGGUCGUACACCUACGGGUGGCUGCAGUCGAGAAUAUUCGACAAUGGGCGCAAGCCUGAUCGAGCGACGCCGCGUGCAGGAAGAAGGCCUUCGGGUCGUAAACUGCUUUUCAUCGGGAACAAGUCCGGUCCUUUUUGGAUUUUUGGUUUUGACAAAAUAAAAAAUAAGCACCGCGUGUACGAACCUAAUCGUACAGAGGCGGUGCAAAUGCAACACACUGAGACUACUCGUUAACCUUCAAGUCAAUGAGGCGGAGCUGAUGGGUACGUUCAAAUUGCUUAAUAGUUUUGUUGAGCUGGUCACUCAACUCAACUACGUAGCCUGCCGGUCCGUUCAGUUCGAACUGAACGGAAAGUCUAUCGUCUUGGGUCUGAUGUGCGAACUGGAGUUCUACUUUUUGGUGAGCUUCCAUUUCUUCCCCUCUACUUCAAAAAAACUGUGUUAGAUCACAUCAAUACUAUAUAUAGCACUUAAUUAUAUUUUUGUCAAGAAUCUAAAAAGGACCGGAUUGAGCGUACCGAUGGAAUAAGGAGCUGCAAACUUCGUGCCAGCAGCCGCGGUAAUACGAAGGCUCCAAGCGUUAUCCGGAUUUAUUGGGCGUAAAGGGUCUCCAGGCGGUUGUGUUAGUCGGGCGUUAAAUUUCGCUGCUUAACGGCGAAGCUGCGUUCGAAACGGCACAACUAGAGGAAUGGAGAGGGAGUAGGAACUCACGGUGUAGGGGUGAAAUCCGUUGAUAUCGUGGGGAACACCAAAGGCGAAGGCAAGCUCCUGGCCAUUUCCUGACGCUCAUGAGACGAAAGCGUGGGGAUCAAAAAGGAUUAGAUAAUCCAUGCCGAGAUCCAAAGACAUCGGCAAAAGUGUCUCUUUUGUGGAGUAAUUCGCAAUUGCAAACUUAGCUAUAUGCUGGAACAUCCGAGUAUCUGAUAUUACCAAGUGCGGAAUCUAUAUUUUAAUUUAUAAAUUGUCAUUCCCGCGCAAGCGGGAAUCUAGACCCUCUUGAUAUGUAUUUUAAGAAAAGAGAAUCUGGAUUCCCGAUCAGGUCGGGAAUGACAGAGAGUAUUGAGGUAUAGAUUCCGUACUGGGUAAAAAUGUAUCAGUGCGGACAAUCAGCAGGGAAGACUAAAAGAUUAAAAGAAAGGAGAAGGAAUAUGCACGCACAUGAAUUUUCCGAGCACACGCAUAUUAGAUGCAUGCCUUGCAGAAAAGAGUUGUUAUUGCUUUCUGAAACCGUUAUCGAGAAUGACGGUAAAUCUGGAGAAAAGCAUUACAAGUGUUCGCAAUGCAAAAAUACACUUGCGACACUGACGAAAGAAGGUUUAAAGGUAAAUUUUGAUCAUGCAUAUAUUCCGACUCCGCCUAUUCAUCUUUAGUUCCCUCAGAGACUACAUGCUAGGCUCGAAAGAUGAGAAAAGUAUUGGUGUGUUUAAUUUUUAGACGCACCAAUACGAUUAUUUUUUCGAUGAAGAUAUAGUCCGAACUCUAUGGCGACAUAGAGAGCAUAGCAGAAAUGUUUAUGCCCGUACCAUUUUAAAUUUUUAACUCAAAGUGGUAUGUAGUAACAAUUUGACCCUUGUAGUCCACGCCCUAAACGAUGCACGCUCGCUGUUUCGAGUAUCGACCCUCGGAGUGGCUUAGCUAACGCGUUAAGCGUGCCGCCUGGGAAGUACGGCCGCAAGGCUAAAACUCAAAGGAAUAGACGGGGAUUCGCACAAGCGGUGGAUCAUGUGGUUCAAUUCGACGACAACCGAGGAACCUCACCAGGGUUUGAAAUGCUCAAGAAAUUUCGGUGAAAGCCGAAAUGUCUCACAAGGACUUGAGCACAGGUGCUGCACGGCCCUCGUCAGUUCGUGGUGUGAAUUGUUCCCUUAAGUGGGGUAACGAACGCAACCCUCAUUGCCUGUUAUAUGUGUCAGGCGAAACUGCCUCUUUUUAAGGGGAGGAAGGUGGGGAUGACGCGAGGUCAGCGUGGCCCUUUGAUAUCCUGGGCUACACACGUGAUACAAUGGCGCACACAAUGGGUUGCCAACGCGCGAGCGGGAGCUAAUCCCAUCAAAAUGCGCCCCAGUUCAGAUUGGAGUCUGCAACUCGACUCCAUGAAGCCGGAAUCGCUAGUAAACGCAAAUCAGCUAUGUUGCGUUGAAUACGUUCUCGAAUCUUGUACUCGGGACGCUGUGCAAUUUUUUA
rnacentral:rRNA from 1 species